rnacentral:rRNA from 1 species
UGCAUGGCGUGUCGUCAGCUCGUGUCGUCGAGAUGUUGGUUAAGGUACCGCCACGAGGCGCAACCCUUGCCUUUAGUUGCCAGCAGUUCGGCUGGGCACUCUAAAGGGACUGCCGGUGUUAAACCGGAGGAAGGUGGGGAUGACGUCAAGUCCUCAUGGCCUUUAUGACCAGGGCUACACACGUACUACAAUGGCCGAUACAAAGGGCAGCGACACUGCGAGGUGAAGCCAAUCCCGUAAAAUCGGUCUCAGUCCGGAUUGGAGUCUGCAACUCGACUCCAUGAAGUUGGAAUCGCUAGUAAUCGUGGAUCAGCAUGCCACGGUGAAUACGUUCCCGGGCCUU